rnacentral:rRNA from 1 species
UACGUAGGGGGCGAGCGUUACCCGGAUUUACUGGGCGUAAAGGGCUCGUAGGCGGUCUGUCGCGUCGGUAGUGAAAACUCAGGGCUUAACCCUGAGCCUGCUUCCGAUACGGGCAGACUAGAGGUAUGCAGGGGAGAAUGGAAUUCCUGGUGUAGCGGUGAAAUGCGCAGAUAUCAGGAGGAACACCGGUGGCGAAGGCGGUUCUCUGGGCCGUUACUGACGCUGAGGAGCGAAAGCGUGGGGAGCGAACAGG